GAUGAGGUCAGGCUGAGGGCGUGUGAAGGUGUUUCUGUCCAAAAGAAUGAGCUGAAUAUUAAUGUGUGUGUGUGUGUGUGUGAGAGAGAGAGAGAGAAACAUAAAAAUGAGCGAUGACCUCGUCGUUGUUAAAAAUUUACCUCCUCAGAGAAACUGGCAAAAGCUUCACACACACACUCAUCUGGAAAAGAUGUUCUGUUUCUUCUGCACAAACACACGCACACAUGAACACACAUCAUGCAUGCAUACGCACAUACACAUGAACAAACACAUACACACACACACACAUGAACACACAUGCACGCAUACGCACAUACACAUGAACAAACACACACACAUGAACAAACACAUACACACACAUAAACAUGCACACACAUCUCUGAAGCAUGUUGUGUGUGUGUUGCAUGUUUAAAAGCAGAAACACAAACUGCUGAGUUCUUUCACAUGUGAAGUGACGAUGUCAUCAGUGAGGCUGGUGCCCUUUGACCUGCAGGUCAGACGUAGUCUUGUGUAUUCAGACUGUUUCUCUUUGUCUUUUAUUAUUUCCUGUUUCUGACGUUAAGUGACUUCCUGUUUGAUCACUGUCUAACCCUAACCGACGAUGAUGACGAUGAUGAUGAUGACGAUGAUGAUGUGAGUGAAUAUGUUUCUGGGUAAAACAUAAUGUGCAGCAGAAGAGCACAGAUCAGACGAGGAUGGACGGACUCACGGAGGGGGAGGAGGAGGAGGUGUCACUCCAGAAAUCUGUGAACAAUCAAGAGCCAGUGAUUGACAGGUUCAGGCCGCACUUGUCAGGAUGAAUUAGAGAGGGAAGAACGCUGGCGAGGGCGAGCACGUCACUGGGAGCUUGGCAGCACUGCUGAUUUAUUCCAGGUUUCACAAAGUCAUAAACAAGAUAAACGCUCGAAACGCUGCUGAUCUCAAUAACCAUGAGUAAAGUGAUGGGAAUGUGGUUGAAGACGAGGAUGAGGAGGAGGUGGAAGAACACAAGGCGGAAGAAGAGGAGGAGGAAGAACCAACCAACUAACCAAUCGACUAACUACCCGACUAACCAAUCAACCAACUAACCAACCAACUGGGUGAUUGUUUACUGUGUCCUGGCUCGGUCACACAGCCUUGCCACAGGGGUGCCCCAAGGCUCAGUGCUGGGGCCUCUCCUCUUUGCCAUGUUCACCCGCUCACAUAUCACUGCUAUGCUGAUGAUACCCAGCUGUAUCUGUCACCUGAUGACCACACGGUCUCUCUGUCACGUCUCUGCAGGGAUGAAAGUCCACCCCCUCCAGAUAAACCUCUCCAGAACCUGAACUGCUGCUCUUCUCAGCCGAGCCAACGAUACAUCAGAAAAUCUGCAUUCAUAUCCUCUCUCUAUCUCUGGCUCCUUCAAAGAUAGCAACAAACUUGGGUGUGAUGAUCGAUGACCUGUUGACCUUUACAGAUCAUGUUGCUUCUGUUCAAUAUAAGAAAAAUCUGAGCGUACCGAACUCAACAGGCUCCAGCUCCGAGUACAGGCUCUGGUCAUCUCUCUGCUAACGCCCUGCUAACAGGCCUCCCGACCUGUGCUGUGAAACCACUACAGUUGGUCCAGAACGCACCAGUGCACCUGGUCUUCAUGUCCCCCCUCUGCUCAUUUAGCUCCUCUGGCUAUCACUGAUGUUAGCCUUCAAAGUGCUUCAUGUGUCUGCUCCCACUGACUUAAAUGCUCUUAAAGGCUUAAAGGAGACAUAUUAUACCCUAUUUCUCCAAGUUAAAAUAGUUCCCUGUUGUCCUAAUGAACAUGCCUGUGACAUGCUUUGGUCAAAAUACCAUAAGGAUGAAGCACCAUAGCAGUUCAACAACCCUGCCAAAAUCGCCCCUUUCAGACCGCUCGGUUUUGUGCAUGGUCCCUUUACAUGCAAAUGAGACACAGGUAAACACUCACCCACUUCUUCCAGGGGGUGUGUCGACGCCGCCACGCUCACGCUACCAUGACAACAGUUGAACGUGAACCGUGGGAGAAACACGGCUGGUGGAGGAAACUUUGCGGUUCAACCAUAUAUGUUUGAACCAGAGUCCGACCCUGAACAAGAGGAAGCUACGGAAGAAUUUGUAGUAUGUAGACUGCAACAGGACGUGUCAGAAUGGGUGUGUUAGUUAAUGUGGGUGGAGCCUCUGAAAACUACCAUGCGAUUCCCCACAUGUGGACAUGCAGGAGGAGGAGGGGGCGGAGUUAAUGAUCACCCUGGGACCUUUGAGCAAUGCUGCUCAUGUGGCAUUCACGUGUCCUCGUUCGUCUGCACUGAGACAUCAGGGAAAAUGGACGGAAAAUGUCACCGGCCAGAGCCAAUCGGAUCGGCCAUCUGCCCGAGUCAGCGGAGACAAAGCUGCUGUGCUCUGAUUGGCUCGCAGCCAGGGUGACGUCACCUUUAUCAUGUGACCUUUGUCACCAAGUGUGUGUGUGUGUGUGUGUGUGUGUGUGUGAGAGAGAGAGAGAGUGUGUGAGAGAGAGAGAGAGAGUGUGUGUGUGUGAGAGAGAGAGAGAGUGUGUGUAUGUGUGAGAGAGAGAGUGUACGUGUGUGAAAGAGAGAGAGAGAGUGUGUGUGAGAGAGAGAGAGUGUGUGUGUGUGUGUGUGUGUGUGAAAGAGAGAGAGUGUGUGUGUGUGUGUGAGAGAGAGAGAGUGUGUGUGUGUGAAAGAGAGAGAGAGUGUGUGUAUGUGUGAGAGAGAGAGUGUGUGUGAGAGAGAGUGUACGUGUGUGAAAGAGAGAGAGAGAGUGUGUGAGAGAGAGAGUGUACGUGUGAGAGAGAGAGAGUGUGUGUGUGUGAAAGAGAGAGUGAGUGUGUGUGUGUGUGAAAGAGAGAGUGAGUGUGUGUGAGAGAGAGAGUGUGUGUGUGUGUGUGAAAGAGAGAGUGAGUGUGUGAAAGAGAGAGAGAGAGUGUGUGUAUGUGUGAGAGAGAGAGUGUGUGUGUGAGAGAGAGAGAGUGUGUGUGAGAGAGAGAGAGAGUGUGUGUGUGUGUGAGAGAGAGUGUGUGUGUGAGAGAGAGAGAGUGUGUGUGUGUGAGAGAGAGAGAGAGUGUGUGCUUCACAUUGUUUUUUCUUUCUUUUUUUUAAACCAGACCAGGAUCUUGGAUUUCACUGAACCAGGUUCUGAACCAUGAUCUGAACCCGGUUCUGAACCAGCCUCUGAACCAGGUUCUGAACUAGGAUUUGAACCAUGUGAACCAUGAACCUCUGAACUGAGAGUUUGUUUGUGAACAAAUAAAUCAACAUUUCAUCA